rnacentral:rRNA from 1 species
GUUGGUUCAGGAACUGAAUUAAUGGUUAAGAGGGACAACUCGGGGGCAUUCGUAUCCCUGCGCGAGAGGUGAAAUUCGUGGACCGCAGGGGGACGCCCUAAAGCGAAAGCAUUUGCCAAGAAUGUCUUCAUUAAUCAAGAACGAAAGUCAGAGGUUCGAAGGCGAUUAGAUACCGCCCUAGUUCUGACCGUAAACUAUGCCAUCUAGCGAUCCAAUGGGGUAUUGUAGCCUUGUUGGGGAGCUUCCCGGAAACGAAAGUCUUUCGGUUCCUGGGGUAGUAUGGUUGCAAAGCUGAAACUUAAAGAAAUUGACGGAAGGGCACCACCAGGAGUGGAGCCUGCGGCUUAAUUUGACUCAACACGGGAAAACUCACCCGGCCCGGACACCGUUAGGAUUGACAGAUUGAAAGCUCUUUCUCGAUUUGGUAGGUUGGUGGUGCAUGGCCGUUCUUAGUUGGUGGAGCGAUUUGUCUGGUUUAUUCCGAUAACGAGCGAGACUCUAGCCUGCUAAAUAGUGUCCAGAUAUAUAAGUCUGGCUUACUUCUUAGAGGGAUAAGCGGUGUUUAGCCGCACGAGAUUGAGCGAUAACAGGUCUGUGAUGCCCUUAGAUGUUCGGGGCUGCACGCGCGCUACACUGGAAGAAUCAGCUGGUCCUUCCAUUGCCGAAAGGUAUUGGUAAACCGUUGAAACUCUUCCGUGACCGGGAUAGGGAAUUGUAAUUAUUUCCCUUGAACGAGGAAUUCCUAGUAAGUGUGAGUCAUCAGCUCACGUUGAUUACGUCCCUGCCCUUUGUACACACCGCCCGUCGCUGUCCGGGACUGAGCUGUUUCGAGAAGAGUGGAGACUGCUGUAUUGGGGCUUUCGGGCUCUGGUAUGAUGGAAACCAUUUUAAUCGCAAUGGCUUGAACCGGGCAAAAGUCGUAACAAGGUAUCUGUAGGUGAACCUGCAGAUG